AUGUGCUUGCUUCAGCCACACAUAUACUGAAAUUGGAACAAUGCAGAGAAGAUUAACAUGGCCCUACACAAAUAUGACAUGCAAAUUCAAAAGUAAAUAAAUAAACAA
rfam:Ictidomys tridecemlineatus contig003177, whole genome shotgun sequence.